AUUGAACGCUGGCGGCAGGCCUAACACAUGCAAGUCGAGCGGAUGAGGGAAGCUUGCUUCCCGAUUUAGCGGCGGACGGGUGAGUAAUGCCUAGGAAUCUGCCUAUUAGUGGGGGAUAACGUUCCGAAAGGAACGCUAAUACCGCAUACGUCCUACGGGAGAAAGUGGGGGAUCUUCGGACCUCACGCUAAUAGAUGAGCCUAGGUCGGAUUAGCUAGUUGGUGAGGUAAUGGCUCACCUAGGCGACGAUCCGUAACUGGUCUGAGAGGAUGAUCAGUCACACUGGAACUGAGACACGGUCCAGACUCCUGCGGGAGGCGGCAGUGGGGAAUAUUGGACGAUGGGCGAAAGCCUGAUCCAGCCAUGCCGCGUGUGUGAAGAAGGUCUUCGGAUUGUAAAGCACUUUAAGUUGGGAGGAAGGGUAUUCACCUAAUACGUGGGUACUUUGACGUUACCAACAGAAUAAGCACCGGCUAACUCUGUGCCAGCCGCCGCGGUAACAC
rnacentral:rRNA from 1 species